UUGAAUGAAAUAUAAAUUGAUUUAAUACCCACUAUAGAUUUAUGACUGUUCAUUUAGAAUUUAGAAGAAUUCACCCUUCUUUUAUUUCUCAAUUGAACGCGAAAGCCCUAAUCUCGAGCUCGUAAAAUUUUCUGGAGAAAAAUGAGAACCAAAACACGCGCCAGGGCUCGCUUUCCCGGAGCGUCUCGCCGAUCAGUCUCAACCAUCACUGCCACCACAAGGCCACUUCCUUCCCAUAUUCCGGAUCGUAGUUCAAAUGCAGAAGAAGAUGGAGCGGACAGGAUGGACAUAUCAAAUGAAAGUGAUGGAAGAGAAAGUAAUUCGAGUAGUGAUGAUGAAAUAGUGAAUACUUGCUUAAAAUGCAAUAAAGGUGGUAAAUUGCUGAUUUGUUGUGGAGCUGGUUGUGCAAUUUGUCUUCAUGUUGAGUGUAUCCCGCGUAAGCCCAAGUAUGAUGAAGAGGGAAACUUUCAUUGCCCUUAUUGUUGGUAUAAACUUCAGCAAGCUAGAGCCCAAGAAUGGAAGAAGAUGGCUUUAUUGGCUAAGAAAGCUUUGAGCGAUUUCAUGGAUUCCAGACAAGUUGAGGUUGGGAAUGAUAAAGCGAAGCUGAAUGAUCGGAGAAUAAAUGGGGCUGAUACAAGUGUUGGACCAGAGAGAAACUGCUGUGAGCAUUUCACCAAGAUGGAUGUUGAUGAUGAAGUGCGGAAUGAGACUGGGGAAGUGGAAGAAGAUCAAAAUGAGAAGAAUGUAAAGAUAUCUGAUGGCUGUCGAAGUACAGAAGUGGUUGAACAUGAAAACGUCUCCAAAAUUCAUGAGUUUGAAGUUCUACAUAAUGAUGAAGGUACGGAGAAAGAAAAGGAUAAUGAACAAGUUAUUGAUCAGUGGGAGGCUGGAAUUCUUGAAGGUGAAGAGCAAGAAGACCCUUUUAAUACCAACUGCAUAGAAGAAGAGACUCUUGUUGAUGACGCACUUCGAGGAUCAGCAGAGUUAAAAUCUGAAGCGUUAAAAGUUUCUGAAGGAAACCAAGCGAGGAAGGAGGAAGAAGAGGGAGUGCAUGAGGAUGCACCUGCAGCCAAUUGCACUGGUGGAGAUGUUGUGGCAGAUGUGCCCAAAAUGUCUGAUUCUGACAAUGAGACUCUUGCAGCGCGAUUGAGUUGGGCUAAGCAAAGGGCUAAUCAGAAAGCUAAUUCAACAAAGAAAUCAUCACAUCAUCCCGACAACAUCUCAGUAGAAAAAGCUAGGAACCAAAAUGAGAAAGUUAUUCCUCUGAAAAAGUCCAGACAAACCCAAGCUCCGGCUAAGAAAUUAACAAAUCUUUCAUUUCCUCAUGAAAAGCGUAAGAGGUUGCACUGGAAACCUGAAGAGGAAGAAAUGCUAAGGGUAUGGUGGCAUAGGUUUGCUACUUGAUUAGUUUUUUGCCCCUAGAUGUGACAGUGAGAUGGAAUCCCCUGAUUUAGGUUGCUUUCAGUUUUCUGCACAUGCUUUGCAACACAAACACCAUAAACAUGGUUCUGCUGUAAAUUAUGUUCAUUGGCCAUGGAUUUCUUAAACUGGACAAUAGCCAUAGCAUUCUACCAUACAGCUUUGAUGGAAAAGGGACUCUAGCAGCAGCUAUUGUACAAUGUUGAUGAGGUAGAUCAAAAUGCUUUCAGGUUCAACAGCAGUGGGAUUGAAGUAUUUGAUGUUUUGUUAGUUGUGACUUAAUUUUCCUAAUAUUCGACAUUGGUGUUUAUUAUCAAAGCAUUUGAUUGCCUCAGAGAUUAUGCAGCACCUAUCUUGUCUUCCAAAGUGGUUGAUCUGCCCCUUGUUUCUGAUGUCUCUAAUAAAUAGUGUAAAAUUUCAAAGUUACAACUAAUAGGAUGCAAUCGUCCUGACUCCCAAUUCCCAAUGAGUGAAUUGGCCCAAAAAAGAAGGGGUGCAGAAAUUUUCAACUACAGUGAAUAAAAAUCUUCCUUGGAAGAAAAUUUUGGAGUUUGGUCAUCAUGUUUUUGAUGGAAGUCGAACUCCUGCUGAUCUCAAAGAUAAGUGGAGGAACAUUGUGGCUAAAGACUCGUCAGCAGUUAAUGGUAGAACAUUGUCUUGAUGCAGAGGACUAGAGAGGUAGAAGGUGAAUCUGCUUUAUAGCAACAGUUUGAUAUAUACCCCACGUUUAUGUAUGUGUCAGACACUUGCAUCUGCAAACCUUUUGAUUUUGUUGAAGCCCUACUUGGAACUAACAGGGCGGGUGUAGUGUUUCGCAGAAGUUAAAGGAGGGUAGCUAGUUUUUGGUUUCUUUUUGUCUAAAUGUGCUUAAAUGCACUUGUGUAUUCUUUUUAUCGUAUAUCUGUAAAUAUCGACUGUGAUAUUAUUACAAUAUUUUGUUGAUAGUUCUA